rnacentral:rRNA from 1 species
GACGAACGCUGGCGGCGUGCUUAACACAUGCAAGUCGAACGGAAAGGCCCUGCUUUUGUGGGGUGCUCGAGUGGCGAACGGGUGAGUAACACGUGAGUAACCUGCCCUUGACUUUGGGAUAACUUCAGGAAACUGGGGCUAAUACCGGAUAGGAGCUCCUGCUGCAUGUUGGGGGUUGGAAAGUUUCGGCGGUUGGGGAUGGACUCGCGGCUUAUCAGCUUGUUGGUGGGGUAGUGGCUUACCAAGGCUUUGACGGGUAGCCGGCCUGAGAGGGUGACCGGCCACAUUGGGACUGCGAUACGGCCCAGACUCCUACGGGAGGCAGCAGUGGGGAAUAUUGCACAAUGGGCGGAAGCCUGAUGCAGCAACGCCGCGUGCGGGAUGACGGCCUUCGGGUUGUAAACCGCUUUCGCCUGUGACGAAGCGUGAGUGACGGUAAUGGGUAAAGAAGCACCGGCUAACUACGUG